UACGUAGGGUGCAAGCGUUUAAUCGGAAUUACUGGGCGUAAAGCGUGCGCAGGCGGUUGUGCAAGACCGAUGUGAAAUCCCCGGGCUUAACCUGGGAAUGGCAUUGGUGACUGCACGGCUAGAGUGUGUCAGAGGGGGUAGAAUUCCACGUGUAGCAGUGAAAUGCGUAGAGAUGUGGAGGAAUACCGAUGGCGAAGGCAGCCCCCUGGGAUAACACUGACGCUCAUGCACGAAAGCGUGGGGAGCAAACAGG
rnacentral:rRNA from 1 species